CUCAGGAUGAACGCUGGCGGCGUGCUUAACACAUGCAAGUCGAACGGACUUUUAAUGAAGCCUAGCGAUUUAAAAGUUAGUGGCGGACGGGUGAGUAACGCGUGGGUAACCUGCCUUAUACAGGGGGAUAACACUUAGAAAUAGGUGCUAAUACCGCAUAAGCGCACAGUAUCGCAUGAUACAGUGUGAAAAACUCCGGUGGUAUAAGAUGGGCUCGCGUCCGAUUAGAUAGUUGGUGAGGUAACGGCCCACCAAGGCGACGAUCAGUAGCCGACCUGAGAGGGUGACCGGCCACAUUGGGACUGAGACACGGCCCAAACUCCUACGGGAGGCAGCAGUGGGGAAUAUUGGGCAAUGGGCGAAAGCCUGACCCAGCGACGCCGCGUGCGGGAAGACGGUCUUCGGAUUGUAAACCGCUUUUAUUAGGGACGAUAAUGACGGUACCUAAUGAAUAAGCCACGGCUAACUACGUG
rnacentral:rRNA from 1 species